rnacentral:rRNA from 1 species
UACGAGCGGCCCAAACGUUACUCGGAAUUACUGGGCUUACAGAGUUCGUAGGCGGCUCAGAAAGUUGGGUGUGAAAUCCCUCGGCCCAACCGAGGAAUUGCGCUCAAAACUACUGAGCUUGAGGGGUAUAGAGGUAAGCGGAACUGAUGGUGGAGCGGUGAAAUGCGUUGAUAUCAUCAGGAACACCGGUGGCGAAGGCGGCUUACUGGGUACCUCCUGACGCUGAGGAACGAAAGCUAGGGGAGCGAACGGG